UUCUCUCAUAUCUGUUGGAUUUCAAUGCCAUGACUGAAUUAACUUGAAUCAAUUGAGUUCCUUAUUGGCGGUUGUUACGUUCUUUCCCUAUGCAGGUCAACGGCAUCCAUGUUGGAGCUGCUGCGCUGUGUUCUGAUGGUGAUGCUGCUGCGAUACGGCUACAUGAUGGCACCAGCACCACUGCUUGUGCCCAUUAAGGCCUUUGUCUCCAUCUCCCUGCUGUACUGGGGCCUGCAGACAUUCAGCCAAUUGAUUGCAGUCAAGAAGAAGACAACAUGAGAUUGUCAGGUCCCACUGGCUUAUUGUACAUGCCUCCACCAAAUGUUUGAAGGACUUUAGCCAUGACUUUAGGUAGCCACACUUUACCAUGUAUUAACCAACUUACAAGCUUCUAUGAAUCAAAGAUGAUAUAUAAUGAGCAUAUCUUGCCUCAUAACAAUAUGUGUUAGUGUUUUUAAUCGGACAAGCAUAUUAUGUAUGAAUGGCCAUAGGCACUAUACCUUUAUGGCCAUGCAUAGUGUUUCUACGCUUUAUCUUAUGGGAAGGUAGCUUUUCUGAUUUUGUUCAAAUUGUACUGUUAUAUGCUGCUAUUGAUUGACUGAUUGAUUACAAUCAAUACAAUACAUUCCAGUUUAGUGAGCCAUUGAGAAUAUUAUGAAUUACUUUUAAAACUGUGUCUUUAUCUACACCUUUACCUGUACAACAAAUACCUCCUAAAACUACAGGAUAACUUUUCCUAGGAUCCCUUUUUUCAUGAAAUGUAAUACUUCUUAAACUCUGUAUUUUUCAGUUCCAUUUUUGACUAAACAGUUUUCUGUUACCAGUUUCACUCAUUAAUUUCAGAAAUAAACGCUGUAUUAGAUAUUCAUGUGUUUUAUAUGACUAAAACUGUGAUUCAUUUGUAUUAGGGUAUCUGAAUAAGUAACACUACAGUAGAAGCCUUCUCUACUUCACUACCAUGGGCUGGAAAAUAGUUUCAGGAUUCUGCACCAGGUGGCACUAUUGUUGCCUUAAGACUGAAUUCAUUUUAUAGAUAAGGUUGCCCCUAGACUCUGAUCUUGGGUCAGUUUUGUAUUUUCCAAAAUAAUAGUUAAGGUAAGGAUUGGAGAAGGAAGAUCUGUACCUGGGGUUGCCUAAUACAGGUAGCUGACAAAAUAAUAGAAACACUUGAGUAAACGAGGGAUUCAAAGUAUAUUGAAAACAGGUGCUUCCACACAGGUGUGGUUCCUGAGUUAAUUAAGCAAUUAACGUCCCAUCAUGCUUAGGGUCAUGUAUAAAAAUGCUGGGCUGACCAUUAUUUUGGCUUCCAUGGCUAUGCCCCCAUAGGAUGACAAUGCCCCCAUCCACAGGGCAAGAGUAGUCACUUGGGUAACACCAGAGACAGUUUUCCACCAC
rnacentral:lncRNA from 8 species